UGCCUAUAAGCUAGCUCACACAGUAAUAUAAAUCUUUAAUAUUAAUACCUUAACAUAAAAAAUACACCUUAAAAUAAAAGCAUUCUACCCGUAUAGUAUAGGCGAUAGAAAUAAAAAA
rnacentral:rRNA from 1 species